rnacentral:rRNA from 1 species
AUGGUUAUGUUACUAAAAAUUGUGUGCUGGUCAUAUAGUGUUCAUAUGGUGUGUAUGAAUUGUAGUUGUAUCAUAUGGUAUUCGGUAAUGGCUAUGUUUUUAUUGGUUGUUGGACAUGGUCUUAAAAUGAGGAUCUUGCGGGGCACAUACAAGCGUUCUUUAGACACUAUCAGUAGGCACUUCUCCUCCGUGUUAACAGCCAUACUUUCCCUAAGUGGGGAGUUUAUCAAGCUUCCCAAUCCAUCCGUCGAGCCUCCGGAUGAUUACAAAUGGAAGUGGUUUGGUGAUGCAUUGGGAGCACUAGAUGGGUGUCAUGUUGCUGUUUCUGUCGUUCUGGCUGACCAAGGAAGAUAUAGGAACAGAAAGCAAGCGAUCAGCACUAACAUGCUAGGUGUGGUUGACUGGAGCAUGAAAUUUCUUUAUGUUCUACCUUGCUGGGAGGGAUCUUCAUCUGACUCCAGAGUGUUGCGUGAUGCAAUGAGAGACAACCGUCAAGAUGCAUUUGUUGUACCUCAGGGUAUGAUUGUAUCUCUUGACAUUUACUUUCUUCUCCAUGUAAUUGUUAGCUAA